rnacentral:tRNA from 1 species
GUCUUCGUAGCUCAGGGGUUGGAGCCAUGGUGUUGUAAACCAGGGGUCGAGAGUUUGAUUCUCUCCGAGGGCA